CCGCACAUAUAUGAAGUAUUAAAUAUAGUCAAAAGUAAAAACUAUUUACACAGUUUGCCUGUAAAUCGCGAGAUGAAUCUUUUAAGUCUAGUUAGCCCAUAUUUGGACAAUAUUUACCACAAAUAAACGAAAGUGCUACAGUGGUAGAAAACUUUUCAUUUCGGCUACUAAACAAUAUUUACCACAAAUAAACGAAAGUGCUACAGUGGUAGAAAACUUAGGCCUUAUAUGUUGUACAUCAGGCACCACUCAUCAUCCCAAUCCUCCACCACAUCAAAGAACAACAAGGCCUUGUUUAGUUCACCCUGAAAACCAAAAAGUUUUCAACAUUCACCGUCACAUCGAAUCUUGUGGCACAUGCAUGAAACAUUAAAUAUAGACAAAAACAAAAACUAAUUACACAGUUUAGCUGUAAAUCACGACACAAAUCUUUUGAUCCUAGUUAGUCCAUAACUGAAUAAUAUUUGUCACAAACAAACGAAAGUGCUACAGUACCGAAAACUUUUCACUUUUCGGAACUAAACAAGGCCCAAGCUAAGGUACAAAAGUAGAUCAGGGGAAGGUUUGGGAAAUUACAGUAAUUUUAAGCUAGAGAAGAUGAUCUAGCUUUUUUUUUAUCUUGAAUCACAUGUUAGUUGCCCUGUCUGAUUCAGCACGAAACAGUUUGAAACUAUAUACUAAGGGGCUAUUUGGUUGCUAGCCACAAUUUGCCACACUUUAUCUUAGGCAAGUUUGACCAAGUUGACAAGUGUUUGGUUCACAACUAAACUUAGACAUGAUUCUUUUGGGCUCCACAUGUCAUAGAGUUAAAAAGUGUAGCAAGAUUCCUUUAGGCAUGGCAAAGUGUGGCAACCAAUUUGCUAGCCACACUUUUUGUGACUUUCCACACUUGUCUAAAGUUAAUUGUGGUAGAUUGUGGCUAGUAACCAAACAUCCCCUAAUCUUGUCCUAUAUACUACAUACUACUAGAGAAGAACAUACCAAACUCAUGACAUGCACCCCCAAAAGUAACCACACCAUGGCCAUAACCAAAAAUCAUCUUCACCACAGGCUUGAAUUCUCCUACUAGCCUUUAGGAACUCAACCUCUUAACGAUGGAAGGCCAUCAACAAAAUAUGGAACUGCCA
rnacentral:lncRNA from 1 species